CAGGUUUGCUAACGCUGAAAUGGCUGUUUAUUCACGACGGCGACGGGGGCAAGGAGGUGUAGGAAGAACAGUUUUACUCAUCUAGAAAGAAUAUGCCUUCCUUAGAAUGGUUCUUGCCGUUGGCAAAGCUGAGACCAUGCUCGCAGGCUUCUCCCCCUGCAGUAAGUGACAGGAAAAACACACGGGCGCCGUCGCCGGCUGAGGGUGGCUGUGGACGGCUGUGGCCAGCAGCGAGGCGGUUUACAUCAGAACGCAGGUGGGUGUACACAGCCCAUGAACUCAGGAGAAUGCAGCAGGGGAAGGCUGCAGAGGCCCGGUUGCGACUCCUGGAAAUGCCAGCCCCGCUUGGCUGUGAGCCUCCUGUGGUUGAGUUUCCCCAAGAAGUACCCAGGCCCGUGCCCCACGUGAGCUGUGCUUUCAGGUGAAAGUUUCUGUGCUCUGCAGCUGCGCUGGCCUCCCUCUGGGGGCCCUGCUUUGCAGGGGUUGCCAACCUGCUGGGUGGAAGGUCACCUGGGACCACCCAGACCCCUCCUGGGCCCCCUGCCUCUUCCAAUGACUCUGGAAGGUGGUGCAAAGGUUCCCUGUCGCCAGCGCUGGGCAGCCUGCUGGCCCUGCUCCCCGGGAGGCUGGCGGGCCCUGGCGGCUCUCGAGCCCGCCGCUCACUCACGCUGCAAAUGGCUGUCACUCCCGCUUUGCACAGCUUAACUGGAAGGGGCACUUUAGCGAAGCAGGCAGUUGGUCCCAGGCAGAAUCAAUCUUCCUGCUGCUGAAAGAGCCAGGCCCUGCGCGGCUGGCCUUGGGUGGGUUUGGAGCUUGUUGGCUCAACGUCCCCCUGCGGUAGCUGAAAUGAAAGGCUUGUGCUAGUGCCUGGUGCCUCCAGAGUCCGGCUAGGGCCCCUGUCUGUCCUUUCCCCCCCACCCACCCCCGUCCCCCCACCAAAGGCAGAGCAGAGGGCCAGGCACCCUGGGCUGGCCCGGCCUUGCAGAGAGCACAGGAGGAGGAGCCUGGAGCGGGGCUGUAAGGCAGUGCGGGCGGCAGGCUGGGGAGGUGCCGGGUCUGAGCAGAGAAGCGUUCUCAGAGGAGGCAGCAUGCAUCCAGCUGUUUGCAUUUUCGGGGGCGUUGUGUGUGCUCGGUUCAUUCUUCUUUGCGGAAGGUUUUAGGCGCGGUCGCAGCGCCUCGUACUCCUGCGCACUCAGAGUUCAGGUUCUUCCCUCUGCAGGGGUGGGCGUCUGGGUCAUAUUCGCAGGUGCCCUGCCCUCCGACUUUCAAGGACCAGGUUUCCCUGCUUUGUUUUUGUUUUGUUUGCUUGCUUUUGAAGCAGAGGCUCCCAAGUAUAGAGUUACCCCCUGUAUUCCCUCACUUACCCUCAAACCCUGCCUGUUUCCCAGGGGAUUGACAGAAGUCACCCCAAAGCCGGGCUUCUCAGCUCAGCACCACUGAAGCUCUGGGCCAGAUCCUUCUUUAUAGACGGGGCCCUUCCCGAGCUUCACGGGGAUGGGUUGUUCUUGGUUGUUAAACUCUGUUUAUCAUUUGUUCACUCACUCGCCUGCCUCUCUACCCAUUGAUCCGUCCAUCGGUCCCCCACCAACCAGCCAGCCAGCCAUCUGGGGGGUCAGAGUGCCUCUGGAGCCGAACGCCCUGGAACUUACACUCUGGCCCUAUGGAGUUCCCAUUGUGGCUCAGCAGGUUAAGAACCUGACUAGUAUCCAUGAGGAUUCAGGUUCGAUCCCUGGCCUCGCUCAGUGGGUUGGGGAUCCAGCGUUGCUGUGGCUGUGGUGAAAGCUGUCAGCUUGCAGCUCCAAUUCAACUCCUAACCUGGAAACGUCCACAUGCUGAGGGUGUGGCCCUAAAACAAGGAAAAGAAGAGAAGAGGAGAACUCUGGCUGUCCCUGGCUGACCGCAUGACCCGAGACUCAACUUCCCUGAGCCUCACUCGCCCUCCCGCCCGUCCGUGGAGAAGGCAGCGCCCCAUCGUGAGAAACAGCAGGACUGGGGCGAGGCCGGGCCUCAGGGGUGAGGGCGGGGUGCAGCAGGGGGAGGACUGAUGAGGCGAGAGCCGCUGGGGAGGGACGUGUCCAGUGAGCCGGGGUCGCAGGACGGUUAACUGUCCGAGGUGCAGCCACGGGAAGGGGAUGGUCUACCGUGACCUGAGCCUGGAGAGCGUCCAGGGAGCUGGGCGGCUGAGGCACAGAGUCCAGGGGAGAGUCAGGCGAGGGGGAUGCGACCAGCUGGGGCCCCGUGGAGACUGAGCCCAUGCGGUCACUGCGGGCGCUGAGGAGGCAUCUGGAAACGUGGGCUUCGAGAAGGCCGGCUCUGGUCUCCUGAGGGAGGUGACUCAGAACCGUGUGCUCGGACAAAGCAAGAGCAUGAACAGAGAAGGGUUGAGACUGGGCCUUCGGGAGCAGCUCACUGAGGUGGUGGGCGAGGGUGGUAGGCUGGGGGAGAGCGGGGACAGAGCCCUCAAGGAAGCCGUCAGAAGCUCCGAGGCAUUCCUGUGAUGCAGCGUCACACGGGGGCUCAGGGGAAGGACGUUCAGAGAGGAGGCGGGCCCAGAGAGGUCUGGAUGGGUCAAGAUGGACCAGCAGGUGGCAGCCCGUCUGCAGGGAGCAGAGGGGGCCGCAGGCAGCGGUCUGUCAGGCCAUGACACUCGUCAAAUCGUUCUCUUGUUCCUGGUAAUCCACUCCUGACCACAGAAUGAGUCCCUUCCUUGCGCGUUUAGGAUGCUCUGGGAGCUUCACUUGGAUGUGAGCUGGAGACGCAAAGCAGAGCCCAGCAAGGUUAAGUAACUUGCCCUGCGUCACACAGCUCCUCGGUGGCUGCAGCGCGGCCCUGGGAGCAUGGCCCUUGGACUGCGUACUCACUGUCAGGAAGCCACUGUGACCUGGGCGGUGAGCGUGACCACCUACCUAGAUGGGUUGUGGGGACACUCACAGAUGUGAGAAGGCGACGCAGGCUGGGCAUUAGAGAACCCGGGCCGUGAGCUGCUUGCUGCUCGGACCCCAGGACCACUGUUCAGACAAGAGGUGCCCUUCUGUUUCCCUCUCCUCACUCCCGGCCUCCCUCCCUCCCCUUUGGAGCUCCCCAUACAGCCCCCUUCUCAGCUGCGUGUGGCCCCUCCGUGCGCCCCUCCCCUGCUCCCGCCCUCAGCCCCACGCGGUGAGCGCUUCCCUCUGUCCCAAUCCGAGCCACCUGCUCUCCUGUGUGCCUUCCGUGGGUCACGUCGGGGCAGAGCGGGGCUACUGUGCGCUUGGAGCUCAAAGUCCCUUUGCAGCCAAGUCCCUGGAGGCCCGUGGAGCUCUCGGUUUGGGGCCCAGUUGGACGUCUGGCUUCUCAGACAUCCUUUCCCGUUAAAAAUGGAAGGUCAUAAAAACAGGGCCCUUCGGUCCCUCUCGGGCUCCGCCUUUGUUAGCGUGGCUGGGGAUUGGGGGCGGCCUCUCCUCUCUGUCCCAGUGUGAUGUGUCAGGUCACGGGUCGUCUCGGCUGCACCAUGGCCAGGCCAUGUGAGCCUCAGCAGCCCAUGCCCUCCCAGGUCCCGCCGCCCCCAUCACUGAGCACCCCCCCACCCAGGGUCCCCCUUGGGAUGCGGGCUUCCUGCCCCGCCCGCACUCUGCCCUCUGGAGCUGCUUGCACAGGCUUCGCAUCGCAUGUAAGCUGCAUCCUUCCACACCAGCCCUGAAGCCGCUUAAACAGGACCACACACCCGUCAGCACCACCUGGUGCCAGCCCCGGGUGCCCUCGAGGACAGGGACCACCUUGCAUUCGCCCUGAGGGGCAGUGGGUGUCGCACGGGCCAGCGCUGUACCUGGCACAGGGCAUUCAGCAUGCCCGCUGUCACGGUCCUUGUCUGUGUCCUCGCUCCCCAGCACACACCGCCCCCCACCUCCCCGAGUUCCAGCACGGGGCCUGCUUGCAGUUCAGCAAGGCUCCCGGACUAAAAUGAAACGAAUGAAUACUUGAGAGUUGGGUCUGUGGAGAGUCAGAGAAGUCGGGGAGAGGGUGACCCUGGGGGUGGGGUGUUAGGCGGGACGAAACCUCGGCCCCCUGCCUGGCAUCCUCGCCUCCCACCCAGCGGCCGCACCCCUCCAGCCCCACCACCAGUCUCAUCGGCCCCUGCUGAGUCUCCUCCUCGCUCCACUAUUUUUAUCCAGAAAUAGAAGCUUUUCAUACAUUUAACUCUUUUUUUAAGUCGGGUAUAUUUCAGAUCCCAGCCCUCCACCCUCCCCCGAUUCAGAUCACCUCUGCAGGCAUUUACCGAGUCCUCCGUGCAUGCAGACACCGGGCUGGCCUCUGAAGACACAGCCCAGAACCAGGCCCUCGCGCCCGCCCUGGCGGCACACAGCCUGGCAGGCCAGACAAGGGGUCCCCCGGGCGUGGGGGCCCGGCCACCCAUCUCGGACAGUGGGACAGGUAGCCUGAAGGUCGUGCUUGGAGCCCCUUUUCCCAGGAUGAGGUUUUGUGUGAUUUUAACUUGUUUGCAGAUAAUUAACCCUCGGGUCAAAAAAUCAUACUCUUCUGCCUCUGGGGAGAUUGAAAUCAGAUUUUUGAAGAGAAGCAAUUGCUGUGCAGAAUUAAAAGCUUCUUGAUGAAUAAUGCUGUCUACACAGGGAGGAAAUUACAGUAGCACUUUCUGCUAUGUAAUUAAAAAACCAAAAAAGUAGAGAUGAAUGAAAUACCCAGCAGUGAAAAUGGGAUUUGGUUUUCAGCAGAGGAGAUGGAAGCUGUCAGGCCCGCGGCUUCUCCGUCUAAGGGAAGUGUGUCCCGACUCGUUUCAGCUCAUGGCCAGGAAUUUCAUGGCACGUCUUCUGUAACCUUGCUAAGACCAUGGCCUAAAAGGGGGGAUUUUUUACUGUCGAAUACGUUUUUUUUUUUUUUCUUUCUAUCCAUUGAUCUUCUUUCUAAAAUCUCAAAGACGUUCCAUAGACCCAGGUGGGGCAUCACCUGUUUAGUUCCCCCCUCUCCCCACUGCCACACCCUGACUUCAGCAGGCUUUAACCGCUGCACAUUUGCCCAAGAACCUGGACUUGUGGUCAGAGCCAGGGGGUCUGCCCAGUGCUCCCAAGUCUGGUUUUUCCUGACUGUCGUGAAAUCAAGCCAGAGAGCCCGUGGCUGCUGCGGCCAGUUGUGCAGGAAUCAGAGGCCUCCAUCCUGGCCCAGCCCAGUGACUUGCUGUGCAACCCCUGAAGCCAGUCACCCCUCGGAGCCUUGGUGUCCAUGUGCACAGGAUGGGGACCGGAAUAGCCUCGACACAGAGAUGCGAGCGCUGGGGAUGGACGCCUGGUGCCCGGUGAGGUCCCAGAAAUGCCGGCUGCUGUUGGAAAUGAUCAUGGGCCUCGAGGGCUGAGUUGGAGUGAUGGCUGAGGGACCGAGACUGGGACGUCAUUCUUUCAGGAACCCUGGAGAGCAGGGCGGGAGUGGGAGGCCUGUCCUCAAGGCCCAGGAGACCUCACCCCACGCACCAGGUCUCAGGGUCAUACUCCUGAGGUCCGGAACACACGUUCUUCUGAGAAAAGAAGAAAAAGAAGACCAGGCAGGAAAAAGAGUCAUGUCCGGAGUUUCUGUUGUGGCUCAGGGGUAGUGAACUUGACUAAGAUCCACGAGGACUCGGGUUCGAUCCCUAGCUUCGCUCAGUGGGUUAAAGAUCUGGCGUUGCCAUGAGCUCUGGUGUAGGUCACAGAUGCACCUUGGAUCAGGUGUUGUUGUGGCUGUGGC
rnacentral:lncRNA from 1 species